UGGGGAAUUUUGGACAAUGGGCGAAAGCCUGAUCCAGCAAUGCCGCGUGUGUGAAGAAGGCCUUCGGGUUGUAAAGCACUUUUGUCCGGAAAGAAAUCCUUGGCUCUAAUACAGUCGGGGGAUGACGGUACCGGAAGAAUAAGCACCGGCUAACUACGUGCCAGCAGCCGCGGUAAUACGUAGGGUGCAAGCGUUAAUCGGAAUUACUGGGCGUAAAGCGUGCGCAGGCGGUUUGCUAAGACCGAUGUGAAAUCCCCGGGCUCAACCUGGGAACUGCAUUGGUGACUGGCAGGCUAGAGUAUGGCAGAGGGGGGUAGAAUUCCACGUGUAGCAGUGAAAUGCGUAGAGAUGUGGAGGAAUACCGAUGGCGAAGGCAGCCCCCUGGGCCAAUACUGACGCUCAUGCACGAAAGCGUGGGGAGCAAAACAGGAUUAGAUACCCCUGGGUAGUCCACGCCCUAAAACGAUGUCAACUAGUUGUGGGGAUUCAUUCCUUAGUAACGUAGCUAACGCGUGAAGUUGACCGCCUGGGGAGUACGGUCGC
rnacentral:rRNA from 1 species